CACUGACAACUAUUAGAUAAGAUACGAAUCCAGUUCAGAUAUAAGAUUAUCAAUCAGUUGUUUACCUGAUAAAAACCAACACGCUCGUGAUAAAUUGUUUACCUAAACAGAAGUUAAUUUUUCACGACAUGAAGCAAAACACCCCUUAUUAACAAAAAUCUAAAAUGAACUUUUCGAUUGAGAAAUUGCUGCUACUAAGCAAUAUUGGAUUAUUCAUAAUAUUAGGAAGUUACUACCUAUGCUACUCGGAGUUUUACCAUGUUUGUAACGCAACCAUGAGUUUUACCAUGGAACUAGCCUUGAUAGGCACAUUAGCAAAUAUUUCCAUGCUUCUAGUGAUCAAAAGUGGUCUUCAACUUUCCAGUUUUGAGAAGAUUGCGGAAUCCACGCUGGCAGUUGUAUAUAUGUCAGUUGCAAUCUUAGUAUUUAAACGAGUAGAUUGGAACUAAUAAAGAAAUAGACCUACUUAAUAUA